UUCCAAUUAGUUCAUUUCCACAAAUAGCACAAACGCAUACACUAGCACACGAGCACUGAAACAAAUUAAAUAAUGGGUGCUAAACUCACUGUAAUAGAAAAUAGGUCAAAGAAUGAUAUCGAAAUUAGAGUAUGGGUUCCUCCGGCUCGACCGGACAAAUUUCAAAGAAUCAUCAGAAUUGAAGCUGAUGGAUGGAGGGAAUUAAAUUGCAAAAAUUUCAGUUAUGGAAACUUGAGUCCUGAUGACUAUGAGGGAUUUAUGUCUACUUGGUUAAUGAUUUAUGUUGAUGGAGUUUAUACAGGAAAGUACUUUCUUCCCACCCACUUGAUGAAGUAUGCGAAAGUCAUCUGCGACAGAAAUGAAGAAGGACACUUUGUUAUACAAGGAAUCAAAGCAACCUUCGACUUCUGCAGAUUCAAGGGUUGUGCCUUCUUUCCCUAUCUCAGAGGAAACAACCAGGAGAUGGUUUGAUCCUCUAUUUAAGAAUAAUAUUCAAGUUCUGAUUUUCUUCUAGACUCAUCAUCCAAGUAGAAGAAGCUCAAAUUUUGAAGAUGUAUGAUAUAUUGUCCCUCUUGUUUAUGACAUGAGGUUGUGCUAUAUAUAUUACCACUUUAAUAUUUCUAUAGUGCUUCAAGUUAUCCGGUCUGUCUUAUAUUUUGUGAGAUUAUAUUUAUGUUGUAAUGUUAUCGAGAAAAGGGUUUUAGUCCUUAACUAUGCACUUAACGAUUUUAGUCCUUUAAGUUUGUUACAAGUUAACAAAAACGGUCCCUUAACUAUGAGAGUAGGUUCAAAAUAGUCCCUUAACUAUGCACUUAACGGUUUUGGUCCUUUAAGUUUGUCAUAAGUUGACAGUUUUAGUCUCGACAAAAUAUUCAUCGAACUCUAUUUGUUAGAUUUGACGAGAACUAUGAAAAAAAGGGAAAAAUUAGUGAGAACUCUAGAUCGGUCAAAUAACUCGGGACAAAACCGACGGACGUUAGUCGGUUAUAGGAAAAAACUGAGGAAAAACCUACAGACUUGAUAAUGUCAAAAAAUAGUGUCUCGGAGCACAAAGACCGACGGAUUCUGUCGAUUAAAAUCGAGGGAGUCCAUUCGCUAAGUAAAAUGCAUUAGAUUCGUUUUUACUGAAAACUAGAGAAAACUAAAUACUUCCAGUGUAGUGAUUUUUUUUUUUUUAAAAUAGUUUCCGCUCAUUUUUCCUCAAAAAUAACCGAUGGACUUCCGUUAGUUUUCGUAAAAAAAAAUUAAAAUUAAAAAAAAAUAGUGUCCCUCGAUUUUAUCCAUCGGUUUCCGCCCAUCGUUUUUUCGCUUGUUUUUGGUAGUGACAACUUUUUUAGUUUCUGCUAUUUCUAAUUUAUUUCUAAAGUCUAGUGUAUUUUAUUUAUUCGAUGGAUUCCCUCAGUUUUAAUCGAUAGAGUCCGUCGGUCUUUGUGUUUCGAGACACCAUUUUCUGACAUUAUCAAGUCUGUAGGUUUUUUUCUAUAACCGACUAACGUCCGUCAAUUUUGUCCCGAGGUAUUUGACCAUUUCUUUAAUAAUGUGUACCUCUAGAUGUGAGUUCUUGCUAAUUUUUUCCUUUUUUUUUUUUACAGUUCUAGUCAAAUCUAACAAACAGAGUUCGAUGAAUAGUUUGUCGGAGACUAAAACUGUUAACUUUUGGUGAACUUAAGGAACAAAACCGUUAAGUGCAUACUUAAGGGACUAUUUUUAACCAACCCUCAUAGUUAAGAGACCAUUUUGUCAACUUAUGGCAAACUUAAAGGACCAAAACCGUUAAGUGCAUAGUUAAGGGACUAUUUUGAACCUACUCUCAUAGUUAAGGGACCAUUUUUGUUAACUUGUAACAAACUUAAAGUACUAAAACCGUUAAGUGCAUAGUUAAGGGACUAUUUUGAACCUACUAUCAUAGUUAAGGGACCAUUUUUGUCUUUUUCUCUAAUGUUAUCUUUAUUCCAACUUCAUCUAAAUGUAUGGAGAAUGAAACUUCAUUUCUCGUUUUGCACUCUCUUUGUUAAAAUUCUCAUAACUUAGUUAUUAAUAUUUUACACCCUUAUCCAUGUCCUUUUUAAUUUGUACCAUGUCUUCUUACUUUAUUUUUUUUGUUUGUUUUGCCUAAUCCCUUGUCUCUUUAUUUUCUACUGUGAUUAGUACUCUUUAACUUUUACUUGCACUUCCAUGUGACAGAUACCAGUAAUAAUUAAUUAAUUGAUUGUCUCUUACAUUUUAAUUUUUCCUUUUUAUUCUUCCUCUAGUAAAUAUGAAAGAGAUUAAUGUCGUAAAAGAAAAAAAUAAUAUUAAAUUGAGAUCGAAGAAUAAAUAAGGUUAAUUUAGUCAAAUUAUUAUUCUAACAACAUGACAAGUAAAAUGAGAUGAAUGUAGUACUUGAAAUUAGAGUUAACUGUAACGACCCGUUUUGUCGUUAUUGUGAAUUUCGAAGAAAGGUCGCAACUCUGACUCCUUAAUAGUAUCUUCAUCUAGUUUGUUCUGGAAAUCGCUAAUUCAAUCGAAAUCGCUGUGCGUACCGCGUGAGGGAUGGAAGUGUGGGCCACCAGGCCCAGCUGAGCCGCCGUAGCACCAGUAUUGGCGCUAAAGCGGUGGUGUUGUAGUGGUCGAAUCACUGCCAUAGCGGUAAGAGCUUAUGGCCAGUGAGCCGCCAUAGCGGCCACUCAGCAGCCCUAGCGGCACUGCUAAAGUGGUGAAUGUAAUUACCACUGGGCAGUCUCGUAGAGUGAAAACACUAUCUAAGACUUCAUUUCGGGAAUUGGUCUCAUUUUUCUCUCAACCCUAAAUUCCAAGCGCACAGGUCCUUUAGGAAAUGAAAAUAAUCAGAUUGUUGGUCCUGAUAAUCCUUCUAAUACCUUCAAAUUCUCCUUCCACCUAGUAAAUUUCUCCAAAUAAGUCUUCACCUAGAGAACCAUCUAAUGGGUAUUACAAGUAUCUAUGGUGGGAGAAUGAUGGGUUAGCAAUAAUUUUCACAAGAAUCCCAUUAAGCAAUCUUCCAUAUUCUUCCCCUAAAUGUGUUAAUAACCUAGAUUCCUACCUUUCUUUUUCUUAAUAAUGAGUUCUUCCAUGGAUCUUGGAAAUGGUGUUCCUCAAUAUAAGCUUAAAAAUUGGCGAAUCACCUAGUGUUGUUGUAGAUGGGAUCUAGGAGUGGGUUAAGAUCCCAAAACCUUCCUUUUAAUCUGAAAUCUCUUAUGAGGGUUCUAAUGGUAAUUUCUAUUCUUGGGCCUCAUGAUUGUC